rnacentral:rRNA from 1 species
UACGGAGGGUGCAAGCGUUAUCCGGAUUCACUGGGUUUAAAGGGUGCGUAGGUGGGUUUGUAAGUCAGUGGUGAAAUCUCCGUGCUUAACAUGGAAACUGCCAUUGAUACUAUAGAUCUUGAAUUUUCUGGAGGAUAGCGGAAUGUGUCAUGUAGCGGAUGAAUGCUUAGAUAUGACAUAGAACACCAAUUGCGAAGGCAGCUAUCUACAGGGAUAUUGACACUGAGGCACGAAAGCGUGGGGAUCAAACAGG